rnacentral:rRNA from 1 species
ACCUAUGGCCAAAUCACCUUGAAUGCAUCCGAUCUCAUCAGAUCCCGGGAACUAAGCAGAGUUAAGCCUGGUUAUUAAGAAGAAAGGAGGCUGCAUGGGAAUAUAAAGUGUUAAGAGAG